CCUAACUGCAUCAAGAGAAACCGCCUCAGACUAGAGUAUUCAACAUGUAUUGAGAAUGCAUAUAUCCGUAACUGUGUUUCAGUUUCACUAUUGUGUUUUUUUAAAAUCAAUUUCAGUUAGGACUCAAUGCUGGCACAUUCUGAAGGAACUUGAUUAUUUUUGUUUACAAACGAUCUGUGAGCUUGAGGAUUAAUAGCUAAUUGCAAUUUCAAAUGCUUCGUUAUUGUUGGAAAUGAUCCCUUAAGUCUGGUAUUAAAAACAUCUGACCAUCCCAACGAACGCUCUUACCAACACCUGGCAAGGUAAUCUGAACAUUUAAAGAGCUCAGAUUUUUUUUGUCCUCUCCACUCCUUGAUGGAAGCCCUCUCGUUGUUGACUUUGUCAAUGCUAUAGAGCUCCAAGUGAGGUCCUGACAGUGUUAAUAGGGGUUUCUCCUGGGAAAUCAACAGCGGCUGAGGGGAGUCGUCCUGUGAUUCUUAAUAUUUACUACACUGUGUAUAUUGCACUCUUUACUGGGUCAAACCAUGUUCCCCAGAAAGCUUUGUGGUGGAGAAUGAUCCUUUAUUGUAGUCAAUGCUAGGUAGUGAGUAGAUUCAGUCACCUGCAGGUGCAAAUCCACUGCUGCUGAGCUCAGAUAUCAGAUAGAUGGGGCAUCCCAAACAUGGAGACAGAUUAUAGCAGUGAGUGCUUGUGCUGUUUUAUUGUUUUGGAAUGUGUUUAUAGUGCAGGACUGUCCUGUUUGAUCAUGCAGUCAAGACGCUUUUUUUUAAUA